ensembl:lncRNA CHD1-DT CHD1 divergent transcript
GACUGCGCGGAGACCGCUGGACUCUGGUCGCGGCCUUAGUCCGCUGAUCCUCGCUUGGGUGCCCGCCCUUAGCGGCCCGGCGUUGAAUUCCGGGAAGUGGGAGCUUCAGGCUCGCUCCGUGCGGAAAUAGAAAAAAAAUUCUAAAAUUCAUGUGGAACCACAAAAGACCACGAAUAGCCAAAUCAAUCUUGGAAAAGAACAAAGCUGGAAGCAUCCCACAUCCUGACUUCAAAAUAUAUUACAAAACUACAGUAAUCAAAACAUAUAUACAAAAACACAUAUACAAAAAUACAUAUACAAAAAUCAGCUCAAAAUAAAUUAAAGAUUUAAAUGUAAGGCCUGAAACAGUAAAACUCCUAGAAGAAAACUUAGGGGAAAACCUUCAUGACAUUGAUCGGCAAUGAUUUUGUAUAUACAACACCAAAAAGACAGGCAGCAAAAACAAAAAUAAGUGGGACUACAUCAAGGUACAUAAACCUGCACAGCAAGGGAAACAAUCAACAAAGUGAAAAAGCAACUUACACAAUAGAAGAAGAUAUUUGCAAACCACAUUCUGAUAAAGGUUAAUCUCCAAAAUAUACAGUGAUUUCCUACAACUCAAUAGUAAGAAAAUGGAUAACCAGAUUUUAAAAAAUGGUCUAAGGACUUGAACAGACAUUUUUCCAAAGAAGACAUGCAAAUGGCCAACAGAUAUGUGAAAAACAAAUGCUCAAUGUCAUAAAUCAGGGACAUGCAAUUUAAAACGACAAUGAGAUACCACCUCACACCUGUCAGGAUGGUUACUAUCAAAGGAAACAAAAAACAAGGGUUGGCAAGAAUGUGGAGAAACUGGAACCCUUGUUAGUGGGAAUGUAAAAUGGUGCAGUUGCAGUGGAAAACAAUAGAGAGCUUCCUCAAAAAAUUUAAAAAAUGGGACUACUGUGUGAUUCUGCAAUCCCACUUCUGACUGUAUAUCCAAAACAAUUGAAAUCAGGAUCUCAAAGAUGUUAGCACUCCUGUGUUCAUUACAGCACUAUUUCACCAUAACCAAGAUGAGGCUAUAACCUAAAUGUUCAUGGAAAGAUGAAUGGAUUUUUAAAGUGUGGUACAUACAAAUGGUAAAAUAUUAUUCAGCCCUAAAAAAGAAGGGAAUUCUACAAUAUGCAACCACUGGAUGAACCUUGAGGACAUUACAUUAAGCAAAGCAAGCCAGUCACAGAAGGACAAAUACUGCAUGAUUUCACUUAUUUGAGCAGAGAAACUUAAUACUCCCAAUUCAAAACGCAGAUGGCACCACGCGAGGUCAGAGAAAGAGGCAAGAAGUUUUAGUCAACCUGUCUUUGAUUAUUGGCUUGCCAUAUGCAGUCUACGUGUACUUGAUCAUCGCUUAACUUUUUAGCCUGUUUCUCAUGUAUGAAACGAGAAUAAUGAUAUCCAGCUCAUGGGUUGUUUAAAGGAAUACAUGACAUGAUAAGGUGAAGAGGAACAGAUGCUGCCAUGAAAGGGGUUUCCUAGAAAGUGGUGAAGAGACCAUAGCCUAAUGCAAGUAGAGAAUUGGGACCAGGAAAAAUAAAGCCAUGAAAUAAUGAGUCUGCUGUAUUAGAGUAAUGUGGAACAAGUGACAAUUUCAUUUUUUAAGAAUGCUGUUUGUACAAACAACCCCAUCAAAAAGUGGGCAAAGGACAUGAACAGACACUUCUCAAAAGAAGACAUUUAUGCAGCCAAAAAACACAUGAAAAAAUGCUCACCAUCACUGGCCAUCAGAGAAAUGCAAAUCAAAACCACAAUGAGAUACCAUCUCACACCAGUUAGAAUGGCGAUCAUUAAAAAGUCAGGAAACAACAGGUGCCGGAGAGGGUGUGGAGAAAUAGGAACACUUUUACACUGUUGGUGGGACUGUAAACUAGUUCAACCAUUGUGGAAGUCAGUGUGGCGAUUCCUCAGGGAUCUAGAACUAGAUAUACCAUUUGACCCUGCCAUCCCAUUACUGGGUAUAUACCCAAAGGACUAUAAAUUAUGCUACUAUAAAGACACAUGCACACAUAUGUUUAUUGAGGCAUUAUUCACAAAAGCAAAGACUUGGAACCAACCCAAAUGUCCAUCAAUGAUAGACUGGAUUAAGAAAAUGUGGCACAUAUACACCAUGGAAUACUAUGCAGCCAUAAAAAAUGAUG